rfam:Ictidomys tridecemlineatus contig079042, whole genome shotgun sequence.
UGGGGUGUGGCUCAGAGGAAGAGCUCUUGCCUCACACAUGUGAGGCACUGGGUUCAAUCCUCAGCACCACAU